AGCUUCUCAAAUAUAUCAUAAUGCACUCUCAAAGGCUACUAGGGAGAUAAAACUUGAUAGAUCAUAAGAAACAAUAGCAUCGCCAACAAGAUGAUAUCAAGUUACAACAGUGGAGGUGAAGCAAGUAUCAAGUUUUAGCAAUGUAUAAAAAGAUCACCACAUGAGCAUUCACCUAGUUAAGAAUCACCCAAGCAAGAAUAGACUAGUCCAUCAAGAGCUCAUACUAGGAAAAUCCAUUCUCAACAAGAGAUCAUUUCAAACACCCACAUAUGCAUCACAAGUCAUGUUUAAAACUUGUUGAAACCAAGUGUCUACUUCUUUUGGUAGACAUCUUGUAACAACUAAGCAAGCAAUAAUAUCACAUUAAGCACAAAAACUUGGUGAAUUUAUGAAGUUUUCAGCAUAUUUCUUUUCAGUAUUCACACAAAGCAAAAUACAUGAAGUGCCUUUGCGGCACAAAGAAGCCAUGCUUCCCCAAGGUGUGCAUCAUGGGCUAAACAUUUGCAAUGAUACCUAGAUCUUUGACCC
rnacentral:lncRNA from 1 species